rnacentral:lncRNA from 1 species
CCUAGCCAGGUCCUAACCCUAGUCCAGACAACCGGCCUCCCUGUCUCUAAUGACCAACCUCUGCAAAGAAAAGGGAGGCCACACAACAUCCUCUCGCCCAGCCAGGCUGAACUACAUCUGAUCGGAAGGUCACAAGCAGCAUGAACUCACUUCACCACACCUGUGUUACUCACCCCAUCUCAUCACGUAGGCACGGUGUCAUCUCACUUUCUCACCUGCAGCCGGAGACGCAACGAGAGCGAAAGGGCAGGAGCCGCCGCCGCCGCCCCGGAACCGCGAGAGACCAGCCGGCCGCGUCGCCGCCGAGAAGCCGCCCCAAGCCGCUACAGGCACCGCGACCCCGACGCCGCCCGCCCCGUCUGCCGUCCGCUCCGGCCGCCCGCUAGCUGCGUGCGCGCGUGUGGAGUCGUGGCACUUUCUGCCUCGGAGCUGGAGAACGGCCCCCUCCGCCGAGAUCGCCGCCUCCUGCCUUCCCCCACCCGGGCCAGCCAUUCAUCGAGCCCCCGCUCCCCAUUGGCCCGCUCCCCGCCACUCUCCGGGCCACUGGCCAGUCAGGGUGCGGACAGCCGAGCUACGGCGGCGACCAUUGGCCAGAGAGGAGGGUCUCCGCCUCGGCCAAUAGACGAGGGGAGGAGCUGCGGGGAGUCGCGGGGGGCGGGGCUGCGCAGCGCUGCGCUGGCCUCUGCGCGGGGGCGGGACCCGGCGCCCCGCCCACCAGGGGGAGGUCGCCGGCCUACCCCGCCCCUCCGGGCCGCGGCGCUCUUCUCUGUGAUCGCCACGGCUGCGGGCUCCCAGCGGGCCGCUGCGCUGGGGUGGGCGGCGGAAGGUUCGAAUCCCGGCAGUCCAGGCCUGAGCCUCUGGGCGCCACAGGGCUGAGACGGCGGUGGGCGUCACCCUGAGCAGAUGGUGCAACUGACCAGAGAAAAUGCUUUAUUUAAACCUAGUAACUUUGCCCAGAGCUCCUCUGCCUCAGGCCCCUGGAUCUAAGGACCAGUUCUGCUUGAGGCCACCCCAGGGAGGGUAAAUCCUUAUCUUCGGAGAGAUUGCCAUCGACCCAGAAGGAAUUUCCUUGGCUAAAUGGAGGAAUUAGGGUGGAAGAGCCAGAAGAUGCUCAGGAAAUUGUGGUGGAUGCCUGGUACACUUUGUUAGGGAGGGUCUGUCUGAGAUACUGUGCUCACCCAAACCACAGCCGGCAGGGCGAUGAUCGCCAUCCACCUUAGGGCUUUUGUUCCAGGUAGCAAGGUGAGGGAGAGGUUCCAAUCCAAGGAGACUCAAUUGUGUCCCGGGAAACCCAACAGUGGGCUCUUCAUUGCAUGAAUGUCCUUAAUGUUAAUCAACACUCUCUUCCUAACCAAAUUCAAUUAAAAUAAUUUUAGGUUGGGUUUUUAACAGAGCAGUAUUUCUUAAAAGAAACUCUUUGAAUUCGAACAGCUUCUUAGAGUUUAGGUUCCUAAGAUGCCAGAAGGAUUGCAGCUGCCCCUGGGCCCCACACCACUCCCUGAUGGCCUGGUGGCUUCAGAGUCCCCAGUGGCCUAUCUGCAUCCUGGACAAUUUCUCCACCACCACCAGCCCCACUUGCCACUGGUACUGCACUAGGCAUUGUUAGAAAGGUGUGGAAAAGAAAAACCUUUCCCGGAGAAUAAAGAAGGUUAGGUUAAAAUUAAACCAUUUGUCCCUACUUUCAACUCAGCAGUUCCUAGCACAUUAAUGAUUAAUUAACAGGAAUGAAUCUGGAUUAUCUCUCUCCACUCAUCUUCCAUCAGUGAGCCCCAUCUUGAAGUGAAAUUCAAGAAUCCCAGUUUCUGGUCAGCAGUUGCUUCUGACUGGUCCUGCUCAACCAUGGCUGAGCUGUGUAACCUCUCUGAGUGUGGAUAUGCAAUCACUCCCUCCUCUGGGCUUGAGGGAGAAAUCCAUUCAUUUCUUCCCUGGGGUUUGUUGAGUGCCUGGGCAACCUAGAGUGAUAUGUAGGAGAGCUGAUCAAAA